rnacentral:rRNA from 1 species
UACGGGGGGGGCAAGCGUUGUUCGGAAUUACUGGGCGUAAAGGGCUCGUAGGUGGCCAACUAAGUCGGACGUGAAAUCCCUCAGCUUAACUGGGGAACUGCGUCCGAUACUGGAUGGCUCGAGUUUGGGAGAGGGAUGCGGAAUUCCUGGUGUAGCGGUGAAAUGCGCAGAUAUCAGGAGGAACACCGGUGGCGAAGGCGGGUCUCUGGGCAAUAACUGACGCUGAGGAGCGAAAGCGUGGGGAGCGAACAGG